rnacentral:lncRNA from 1 species
GUGCUUAGCUGAGGGUAUAACCUCAGGCAUUCAGAGUUGAAUCGGGCCCUGCUCUUGUGCAACUCUUCCAAAAAUUAAAGACUUAGUUUAUUUGUCAGAAGGCAUCAAGACUUUUCUAGUGACUUUGUUGACUAAUGCUGAAAACAUAUCUGUGCAAGCAGUGGUUAUCUCACUAGAAUGUAUGUUACUUCCAGGAAAUGCCUUUGAUAAGGAUGGUGCUAGGGGGUACUUUCACUAUCUCCCUCUCAAAUCAGCCCCCUUUUCUGCUAUAGGCCACCAACACUGCCCACCUGAAUUAAAGUACUGAUUUCUUCACUUGCCUCUGCACACCAUUCUCAAAUAGUGUCAUUUCCCUGAUUUUAAAACUGACUAGAAACCCCACCCCCAAUUGCUUUUGCCACUUAGCACAGUGUGUAGGAAUUAGAAAUAACUGUUUACAUGGGAACAGGGGAUAAGCUUAUUCACUAAACAGUCUCACCAGGCACAGUGGUAAAUGCCCAUAAUCCCAGUGGUUCAGGACGUUGAGAAAGGAAGACAGCAAGUUUGAGGCCAGCCUCAGCAACUUAGUGAGACCAUUUCAAAAUUUUAAAAACGGAGGCUGCUGGAGAUGCAGCUCAGUGGUAAAUUGCCCCUGAGUUAAAUCCCCAGUACCCACCCCUCCCCAAAUAAACCUUCUCCCAAACUGCCUGGCUGCCUGUGCUUGAGGAAGUGUCCCAUCAGUUUGGCAGGCCUGGGGAAGCAAGCACCAACUGGGUUCCCAGAGCCAGCUGUUCUACAACUGGGGUUAGUCAUUUCUGUAGCCAGGACUAAGAAAACCA